rnacentral:rRNA from 1 species
UACGGAGGGUGCAAGCGUUGUCCGGAUUUAUUGGGUUUAAAGGGUGCGUAGGUGGGCGGCUAAGUCUGGUUUGAAAGCUUGCGGCUCAACCGUGAGAUGUGGCUGGAAACUGGCGGUCUUGAAUGGGGUAGCGGUCUCUGGAACGGGUCAUGUAGCGGUGAAAUGCAUAGAUAUGACCCAGAACUCCGAUUGCGAAGGCAGGCGACUGGGCCCUGAUUGACACUGAGGCACGAGAGCAUGGGGAGCCAACAGG